rnacentral:tRNA from 1 species
GCCGAGGUAGCUCAGCCUGAUCCUACGAGGCUAAGGAGAGAGGGCUUAAUACCUUUAACACCCGGCUGAAGACCGGGUCGUCGCAGGUUCAAGUCCUGCCCUCGGCA